rnacentral:rRNA from 1 species
ACGGGGGGUGCAAGCGUUGUUCGGAAUCAUUGGGCGUAAAGCGCGCGCAGGCGGCUUGGAAAGUCAGAGGGGAAAUCCUGGGCCUAAACCCGGAAGGGCCUUUUGAUACUGCCUCGCUAGAGUACGGGAGAGGAAAGUGGAAUUCCUGGUGUAGAGGUGAAAUUCGUAGAUAUCAGGAGGAACACCGGUGGCGAAGGCGACUUUCUGGCCCGAUACUGACGCUCAGGCGCGAAAGCGUGGGGAGCAAACAG